rnacentral:rRNA from 1 species
AGUGAACGCUGGCGGUAGGCCUAACACAUGCAAGUCGAACGGCAGCACAGGAGAGCUUGCUCUCUGGGUGGCGAGUGGCGGACGGGUGAGGAAUACAUCGGAAUCUACUCUGUCGUGGGGGAUAACGUAGGGAAACUUACGCUAAUACCGCAUACGACCUACGGGUGAAAGCAGGGGACCUUCGGGCCUUGCGCGAUUGAAUGAGCCGAUGUCGGAUUAGCUAGUUGGCGGGGUAAAGGACGACCAAGGCGACGAUCCGUAGCUGGGCUGAGAGGAUGAUCAGCCACACUGGAACUGAGACACGGUCCAGACUCCUACGGGAGGCAGCAGUGGGGAAUAUUGGACAAUGGGCGCAAGCCUGAUCCAGCCAUACCGCGUGGGUGAAGAAGGCCUUCGGGUUGUAAAGCCCUUUUGUUGGGAAAGAAAUCCAGCUGGCUAAUACCCGGUUGGGAUGACGGUACCCAAAGAAUAAGCACCGGCUAACUUCGUGCCAGCAGCCGCCGUAA